UACGUAGGCAGCAAGCGUUGUUCGGAAUUACUGGGCGUAAAGAGUGUGUAGGCGGUGCUCUAAGUCUGUUGUGAAAUCUCCUGGCUUAACUGGGAGGGUGCGCCGAAAACUGGGUGACUGGAGUGUCGGAGAGGUAAGCGGAAUUCCUGGUGUAGCGGUGAAAUGCGUAGAGAUCAGGAGGAACACCUGUGGUGUAGACAGCUUACUGGACGAUAACUGACGCUGAGGCACGAAAGCGUGGGUAGCAAACAGG
rnacentral:rRNA from 1 species